CAGUCGCCGCGGUAAUACGUAGGGUGCAAGCGUUAAUCGGAAUUACUGGGCGUAAAGCGUGCGCAGGCGGUUUGUUAAGACAGAUGUGAAAUCCCCGGGCUCAACCUGGGAACUGCAUUUGUGACUGGCAAGCUAGAGUGUGGCAGAGGGGGGUGGAAUUCCGCGUGUAGCAGUGAAAUGCGUAGAUAUGCGGAGGAACACCGAUGGCGAAGGCAGCCCCCUGGGCCAACACUGACGCUCAUGCACGAAAGCGUGGGGAGCAAACAGGAUUAGAUACCCCUGUAGUCCCUGUCUCUUAUAC
rnacentral:rRNA from 1 species